CUANAUGCAAGUCGAGCGGUACAGAGAGUAGCUUGCUACUUUGCUGACGAGCGGCGGACGGGUGAGUAAUGCUUGGGAAUAUGCCUUUUGGUGGGGGACAACAGUUGGAAACGACUGCUAAUACCGCAUGAUGUCUACGGACCAAAGUGGGGGACCUUCGGGCCUCACGCCAAAAGAUUAGCCCAAGUGGGAUUAGCUAGUUGGUAAGGUAAUGGCUUACCAAGGCAACGAUCCCUAGCUGGUUUGAGAGGAUGAUCAGCCACACUGGGACUGAGACACGGCCCAGACUCCUACGGGAGGCAGCAGUGGGGAAUAUUGCACAAUGGGCGCAAGCCUGAUGCAGCCAUGCCGCGUGUGUGAAGAAGGCCUUCGGGUUGUAAAGCACUUUCAGUCAGGAGGAAAGGGUGUGUUUUAAUAGAGCAUAUCUGUGACGUUACUGACAGAAGAAGCACCGGCUAACUCCGUGCCAGCAGCCGCGGUAAUACGGANGGUGCGAGCGUUAAUCGGAAUUACUGGGCGUAAAGCNUACGCAGGCGGUUUGUUANGCGAGAUGUGAAAGCCCCGGGCUCAACCUGGGAACUGCAUUUCGAACUGGCAAACUAGAGUGUGAUAUAGGGUGGUAAAAU
rnacentral:rRNA from 1 species